AGCAGUUUUGCUUUCAUAUUUUUAUCCUGGCCCAAAAGCAUAGCCUUCAUUUGUGAAAUCUGAAGGACAAUGUUGUGAGACAUUUUGAACUUUUUUUACUCGGGUCCUUGUACUUGCAGGGCAGGUGGCGGAACCAUGGAGCUAAGUCCCGGACCCAACAUUUUUUAAUUUUAUUGUCAAGAUUUAUAGGAUGGGGGGAAAACAGAUGUAUAAGAUGGAGACAGCUCUGGGGUUACAGAGUGAAACACCACGGAUCUUGAGGGUGCCACUGACCUGCCACAUUGUCCGUUCUCCUGCAAUAAAAAGGCACGAAGUCGUUGUCCUGCAGAGGCUGCCACCAACACAAGCAGGCAGCAGUGAUGGGAAACAGAAGCCCCGUCUGAGUAACUCACUUCAGUGUCUCGCUCUCUGCACUCGUAGCAAGGAGAACAUGGAGGAAAGAGUGAGGACACAGCCUAUCAGCAGCUCAGUUUUCAUCUUCACCUUGGACGUCGUCUCCCUCCUGAUAUGGACUCGCAGGGGACCCUACAGUGAGCUCCAGGCCUUUGACCUCUGACUGGGUCCUUCAGGUCUCCAGCACACAGCCAAUCUGCACUCUUCCACCCCUGACUCCACAGGCAGC
rnacentral:lncRNA from 1 species